AUACGUAGGCACCAAGCGUUGUUCGGAAUUACUGGGCGUAAAGCGAGUGUAGGCGGUUUGCCAAGUCCGUUGUGAAAUCUCCCGGCUUAACCGGGAGGGUGCGGCGGAAACUGGCAGGCUAGAGUGCGGAAGGGGAGAGCGGAAUUCCUGGUGUAGCGGUGAAAUGCGUAGAUAUCAGGAGGAACGCCGGCGGUGAAGACGGCUCUCUGGACCGCUACUGACGCUGAGACUCGAAAGCGUGGGGAGCAAACAGGAUUAGAUACCCCAGUAGUCC
rnacentral:rRNA from 1 species